rnacentral:tRNA from 1 species
GGGGGUAUAGCUCAGCUGGGAGAGCGUUACACUGGCAGUGUAAAGGUCGUCGGUUCAAGUCCGUCUACCUCCA